rnacentral:tRNA from 1 species
GUUUAUAUAGUUUAAAAUUCAAAACAAAGUAUUGAAGAUACUUAAAUAAAUUAAUUUUUAUAAACA